AGGAAAAGAAAACGCAGAGACCUGGGAAACGCGUGCUUUUCCCGUAGGAAAAAGAGCAGUUCCGCCCACCUAAAGGAACGGAGAAGACCCGCUGCCUGCGACGGUCUACACAUUCGAAAGGCAGCAACCUCCCUCAUGCCGCGGAAAGGCAAAAGGAUAGGAGAAACUGCAAGGCGGCGAGACAAGUUUCCUCAACGCAGAUCUGUGACUGACGACCAUUCCCGAACUCACAGUCUCCGCGGGCGCCGCAAACAGUCGACAGGGAGCGCGGCCCACGCAGCGGCCGCCGCACCCGUGGCCUCUACUUGCUUCUGCCCUGCUGCUCGGUGUAGGGGUUUGUUUGGAGCUCGCUCGAAGAAACAAACACGCUCCUCUGACACCCCCGGCCGCCCCCGCACGCACAUCUUCGGUCUCUGCAACCGCCCCGCCUGCACAGUGCCGGCCGUUUUUCGGGGCAGACUCUUUGUCUGCCUGAAACCCCGCAUUCCCGGGGCGUGCAGCGCAAGAGAACCCAGCUCCAAAACGUCUCCGAGGUUAAAUAUUGACCAGAACCUCCUUCAAGGGGCUGCAGCUGCCUGGACGAGGAAACUCCUUCCAAAGGCCCGUGCAAAGCCCGGAGGAGUGAAGAGUUGGCGCAGCGCUUACCUCGAAAGAUGUUUAAGACUGAACCAGUGAUUGUCUCCAACUCCGGGCACUCAGGGAAUCGCCUUUUCCGGUGUCCUGGCGCUCUGCGGACAAAUAAACAGCAGAGAGUAAACGGUGGCUGCGAAGGAAGGGAGCUGGAGAACCGGAGUUGGAAGUGCGGCCCUGCACGGGCGCCAGGGUGGCCCCCGGGGUGACGCGGACACGGAGGAGUCGCCAGGGCACUCGUCCAUGAGGCGCACUCGUUGCUCGAAAGGGUCCAGUCUAAGAAUGGCCUGCAGAUGAUGAUUUAUUUUUGUAAAAUAAAUACAUACUCCAUCUCCGCACCCACAUUCUCCUCUUUCUUUCUUUUUACGGGGGCUGGGAUGGGGGAAGGGGGUAGGGAGAAGAAAAUGGAUAGGCGGAGGAAGAUGGGAAGGUGGAAGAAGCUUUGCCGUUGGUGCCAGCUCUGCUCCAAGAGCUCCUCACGCACCUCAACUUGGGGAAUGUGAAUGCACGCUUUAUUUUCUUUCGCUAACAAAGGGAAGCCCUGUCUGGGAGCAUUCAAUCACAGACUCUCUUGAAACCUCGCUAAUAGUGCUCAUUUCUGUUUGACUCGAAAUCAGACCCCGGCGCAGUCUUUGGGCUGGGGGGCAGUCUUGAGAGGUUUUGUCUUCUGGUUUAUUCAAGCCCUGGGUGCCUCACUUCUCGGUCCCAGUGGGCUGGCGGGACCACCGCAGCGCCCAGUCCCUAAGAGUAGGCCAACUGCGGCUGGUUGGAAAUAGGGGAAGACUAGGAAGGAUGCAGACAUCUGACAAUACCCGAUCUGGGGGCCCUAACCAGCCUUGCCUUGCACAGCAGUCCCAAGCCAACCGAUGCCCUAAUUCUGCUGCCAACUUGUCUCUCAAGGUAUCUGCAACCCUCUCUUGCUCUCUAAGUAGCAAAUGGUCAGCCAACUUUCCGGAGAUGGAGAGAAGACGCUGGGGAAGGUGGAGAAGAAUCAUCCCCAAUGCUGAACCCCGGCUAGAUUCUCCACUGCCUGGGACUCUGCUGGGCCGGUUGCUUCCACAAACCUACUCCCCACUACCCCUUCACCCCCCGCCCGGUAGCCUCCCCACAAGCCAGCCUGCCCCCAACCAGCCCUGGAUGCCUGAUCCCAGUCAAUGCAGUCCUGUUGAUGGCCUGAGAGACCACCAAAUAGCUGACAAGCCCCCUGACCCUCAGGCUUCAGGGCCCCCUAGCACACUGAACAAAUGGCGGAAAACCAGCAACUAGUUGCCCUCUGCCACCCUCUCGACCUGUAGCCCUCACCCUCCAUCAGGCCCUUGGGACUCAGAAUCCACGCUGGGCCCCUUUCUCUUAUUCAAAUUCGCCCUCUAUGUCCCCACAGGGAGUGUCUCCGGCCUUGGGGCUCCUGGAGGGACCCUGAGCGUGGUGGGGCUUAGCUACCCUGCACAAUGCCACUCAACUUCGCCCCAGAAAGAACCGCUAUGCCGCCAUCCGCCACCCCUCCCCACCAACGACGCUUAGGAGUAUUGUAAUUAUUAUGGUUAUUGUUGUUGCUAUUUCCUUAUCCCCAAGUCAAAUAUUCAUGGCUGCCGUUCCCCAUAAAUCGUUCAGACUAAUGAGUCACAAAGAGAUGUUGCCCAGGUCUCUUUCCCUCUGCAAUGGCCGCCGCCGCCGCCGCCACCGCCGCCGUGGCCUCUCUCUCGGCGUUUUUGGCGCUCGCUUGCUCCCUCGCUCGCCCGGCGCGGGUGAUUUAUGAACACCGGGAAAAUUGAACAAAGCCGCGCGCCGGUCCUGUGGUAUCUCUGCAGCCUUCCCCCGUGUGAAUCAGAACAUUAUCAACUGUCUGCGCAUCCGUCCCACUUCAUCACUAAAGCCGGGAUGUGACCGCAGAAAACCCAGCCCAAACUCACGUUUCCCCGGACGCGGCGCGCUCCCCGGACUUGCAGAAACCCUGAAGAAAAAGCCCCCAAACCCGGCGUGGGCCCGCCNGGGGCCCCGCCAGCUCCGGUCCUCCCCGCCGAAGGGCUCUCUCUUCAAACCUCCUGAAGGAGUUAAAAGCCUUUGGAGAUAAAUCUGAGGGUGUGUGUUUUUAAAAAUCAAAUAGGAAGUUGGGGUCUCACUUCUGAGAGAUUCAUUCCUAGUGCGGCCCUGACGACUCCGAUCCAUUCCUGACGAUCCGCAUUAAUUAUUUAAUGAGUCACGUGACCUCAAAAGAUUACAAUUUCAAUAUCUCCCUCGAACUGGCGCUACACCUUUAUCUGCUGCAACGAUGGUCCUUGUUUGGCUUUUUUAGUUCCCAGGCCUCCAGAACGCAGACACUCCUUGCUCCUUGCUCAACUCCAGGGCAAGCGACUGCCAUGGAAAUCCCAGGGCCAGCAUAGAAUUAGUCAUUCUGGAACUAUGAGCAUUGUGGACAGUGGGGUGCCCACCGCUCUCCCAGGCACCCAGGCAUCUGUCCCCUCCUGGGACCAAAGGUCAGCCCACCUGUGUCAGUGCCCAGGCUAAGGCGCUUUGGUGACCUAAUCUCCUGGGGCCGCUUUGAUGGCGCUUCAGGCGAGAACCCACCCUACCUCCCUGGACACCUCAGCACACCUGUGGCCAUCCUUGUCAAGUGUUAGCCCAGAGGCAGGUCCAUUCCAGGCAGAAUAGGCUUGCCCAGAGGAAAGAUGCCUGUGCACUUACCCCUCUCCAAGGUGAGACCAAAGGCUCUAUUCAACCUGCACAUUCAUUAACAGGAACAUGGGGGAACAUUCAACUGCCUUAGUUUCCUCUACCGUAAACUGAGAAGAUUGAACCAAAAUGGCCUCCAAAUCUCUUUCACCUCGGACAUUCUUUGAAGCAAGGAUCUCUUGUAGCCCCAGAAAUCAAGCCCAGAGACAGGGGAGCUGGCCUGAGUGGGUGGCGGGAGUUACUCCAUGAGUGUGGGACCUUGAGAAGUGAUACCAGAAUUCCAAGAGAGAAGUUUCAUACUAGAAUGUUUCAUCAACAGCCCCAGCACCCUCCCUGAUUCCAACAAGAAGUGAGAACCCAUAUUCUUUCCUCCUCCUAUUUUUCCUAGCCCUUAGCCUUUGAUAGAGGAAGCAGAGUUCUUCUUGGGCCCCUGGGGUAUAAUAUAGAAGAGGGGCAAUAGGAACAGCCCUUGGGAAGGCUGAGCCUAUGUUCUUCAAUACAGGGCUGCGGCUAGGAUAGGGAUGCAAGCCAAAGGAGUGCAAAGAACAGCCUACUCCCUGCACAGAACCCACCCAUUCAGACAGGAAGCCCCCCCCCCCACUCUCUGUUUGCUACACUGAUUCUUUGGGUAUCUUUUUUCCCUUUCAUUCUAAAGAGUCCUAGAUCAGUUUCUAUGUUGCAACUGCUGGAGAGAAGGCAGUGGUGAGAAGAGCAGCCCAGUUUGGAAGCUUAGAAGAUCAGGGGGACAGAGUAGAGAUGGAGAUACCCACCCCUCGGGGGAAGAAGCUGAGAGGUGAGGGGGGGGGGGGGGGGUGCGGAAUGUGAGCACCCUCGAAGAGCUGGGUAUAAAGUCAGAGAUUCUGUGCAGAGGGCCCACUCCCCAUAUAUCUAGGUAAUCUUCCCAGGAGCCCCAUCCUGGGUAUUAAGUACUCUACUAUGCCUGUCACAGUUGAAUUCCCGCUGUAAUAAAACACCGGGUAUAUCGUAGAUUUCAGCAAAACUAGGAAAGAGAGCCUGCAAAAUGCCAUUUUUCUUCAGUGGGGAGAGUGUUAAGUACUUAAUUCAAACUGUGACCAUUAAAGUGUCUCCCAUCCGAUUUAAGUUGAUUUCAGAUGUUGACAAAACUUUUAUCUCCAGAGUCAUGCACAGCUUGGCUCUGUGACUAAAGCAAAAGAGUGUGUGUUAGAGGGAAGGAGGGGGGAAAGAGAAAAAGAAGAGGGCAGCAUGUGUAAGGGUCAUUUUGGUAGGAGAAUUAUAGAGCUUACACAAAAUACUGUCUUUAAAGGUCAAGGGUUUGAGGGGCCACUAGGGUUCGCGUAAAAAAAAAAAAAAACAAUUAAUGAGAUAGAAAAUUUGUCCUCUGGGUGAACUCUUAUGGUUGCCCUAGCAAAGGGAAGACAAUGCAUGAUUUUAAAGCACAAAGUGGGAUUUUUCUAAGCUGUUCUAACAAGCUCCCUUAAAGACCAAAUUAAAACAGGAAAAACACUAAAGAAAUGACACAAUCCUUUGGGUCAUUUUGGAUCAUUUUGGCUUUGUAACACUUACCAAUACCUUAAUAAUUAAGACAGCUUAGACAAAAAUGCCAUUUUGUCUUGGUAUAUUAGAAAAACAAUCUGUCCAUCCUUUCUCUUCCUUUCCUGGACAGACUAUAAGAGUAAGUGAAAGAAAGUUAUCCCCUUUAUCCCCACACAACUGCCUCCUGUAUGAAGCUGGAAUGAAUGCCUCUAUACCCCUCCUUCCCUACAAAGGAGAAAUAUAAGAAUUUACCUUAAAUGAUGAUAAUCUGCCAUUUGAGGUUUUGCAGCUUGACACUCAGUUUCCACCAAGAGUCUAGGCAUUUUUUGAGCAGACAGCCGAGAUGCUGCGUCUUUGCCCGAGACCAUAUUAUUUGCAAGAAGAUCCCUUGCUUCUCCACAGACUUUUCCCAGAGAAUGCCUUUCAGAAUUGCUGUUGAAUUACAAAGAAGUAUUUAUUGUAUGAGGUGAUUAAUGAUUCCUGGGAAAAUUGCUAUUUUCAGCGUGAUUUAAUUUCGUUUUACAAGUGCGUGUAGUAGGGGGAGGGUUAAUAAGUUUCAGCAGCAGUUGCAGUGUCCCCAGAAAUCCCUGGCACCCGUUCACACCAUAUAAAACGUACUUCACGCCAGGUUUGGCCUGACUUGGGAAGGCAUGCAUUUGUUUGCUCCUGAAUUUUCUUGGGGAGAGGUGGAGGCCCUUCAGAGACUGGUGUCCAUCACGCUCCUCUCAGAUAUGGUUUGUUCAUAGGUAAAGAACUGAUCACCCUUGCCUGUAUCACACACAGGGCGGCAGCGGCAUGAGGAGGAACAGCACUGCCCGCUGGCUAAGGGUUUGCCAUUGACUGAAAAAUGUGCUUAAGAUUCCUCUGAUAGUCCAAAGGUAGGUGAGCGCCCCCUCCCAUCUCUGCUAAAAUUAUAACGCGAACCUAACAUUGCACUCAUAUAAGGCCAGGUGACAGUUACAUUCUAGGGGUGGCAUGUGUUGGUUUUCUGCAUCUUGUUGUAGAAUACUCCUUCGGUGACAACCAAGUCUAAAUCCUCUUUACUGAUCUGUAAAUCAGCACAUAAACACUAUGGUUAUAGAGACCUCCCUGGGUUUUGAUUUUCAGCCUUUGAAUCUAAAUCUUUAGGUUGGGCAGAAAGAUCCAGGAGCACUUAAGAAAAGUGACCCUCGCUCAGAGUUGAGCUUUCUUCCAGCACUGAAUACUCCCAGGUCUGCCUUGCUUGGGGUAUAUUUUGAGGGUGGCAUUAUGCUUUUUCUUUCCUCAGAAGAAACUUUGGAAGGUUUAUUAGGAAAAUUCAGUUUAUUUUGAAAGCUCUGGCUUCAGAAGGAAAGAGGUAAAGAAAGAAAGACAAAAACCCCGAAGCUGUAGUGAAGUGAACCUUAAAGACAGCCAAGAAACAAAAAAGCAAUCUAAAUUCUUUGCAUAAACUAUUUUUUUCUAUCUCCAGGGAAACAGGCAGAUUAAGUGUGAAGGUGCAAUAAAUACCAAAGGGACCACUUCUUUCCAAGUGUGCUCAGAGUUCAGCCUGUAGAACAGCUGCAGAAACUCCUGGGCCCGAAGCACUGCGUGGUUUCACCUUUCAUUGCAGGGAAGGACACGUUUCUAUGCCUUACAGAGACUUGAAGCCUGAAAGCCUGGCCAAGUUUGGGAAGAAGAGGAGCCCUCUCAGAGCUCAAGAGCCUUCCUGCUCUUUGGAACUUUUCCCACCGUGGGUCAAACUUGACAAGAGUUCAGCUCAAGUUGAAUACACUCACACAAAUUAUGUGAGCAGUCAGAAUCCAAGUGAACAUAACUUGAGCCAUCUACAAGAUUUUUACACACAAGGGCAGACAUCUCCAUCCAGAGAACCUUUUUUUUUUAAUUAAAAGUAGGAAACAUACAAAUGUGUCUUAGAACUUUUAAUGGUUUUUAAAACAGAGUUUAUUCUUAGCACAUGGCUUUUUAUAUAGCCACACCACAAUUUGUACAGUUGCACAUGGGUCGAAAUGCACUCCCCUCUCCCCCGAGAUUGUGCCUCAGAAUAAGACAACAAUAUCUCUACAACAAUAUUUUAAAUAAAUGCAAGGAAAGGAAACUAACAUGUGUCACAUCUACCAUCAAGGUCUAUACAUUUUGAGAAUUAAAUAAUCUUGUGAGGUCCA
rnacentral:lncRNA from 1 species